rnacentral:lncRNA from 14 species
AGAUUGAAUCUAAGGAAGAAAUUCUUUACUGUGAGGGUGGUGAGGUGCUGGAAUGGGUUGCCCAGAGAGGUAGUGAAUGCUCCAUCCCUGGCAGUGUUCAAGGCCAGGUUGGAUGAGGCCUUGGGUGAUGUGGUUCAGUGUGAGGUGUCCCUGCCCAUGGCAGGGGGGUUACAACUAGAUGUUCUUAAGGUCCUUUCCAACCCUAACUAUUCUAUGAUUCUAUGAUUCUAAUUACUGUUUCAUGGAUAUAAGCAACAUUCCUGGCAUCAUUUUAUGAGUUCAUUUUUUAAUUUCAGUUUUCAGACUCCCACAUCACUAGUUUUUGCUUUUGGUCUCCAGAAAUGUAGCAGGACACCUGAAACCUUCCAUAUUGCUGGUGUAUAAAGUUGAAUAAAUUUUUUUAAAGCAUUGAUUUUUGAUAUUAAAAGGUAAGUCUCUAUAUCAUUUCCAAAAUUUUAAAACCCUUCUUAUUUUUAAUAGUACCAUCUACCUUAAGUCCACCUGUAUGGAUUUUUUACAGGAUUAUUAUUGGACAUAUUUACACAAGGAAUAAGAGACAAUGGUUUUGAAGAGCUUUAAUUAUAAAUGUCAGCUUCAAAGCUAUACCCAUAGUUGCAGCUGCAGCAGGACACCGAAAGCACUACCAUGGGACAUGGAGAUCUUCAAAGAGGGUUAAGACAGAUGCUGAAAGCCCAGAGGUCAGCAUGAGCUCACUCAACCACCUUCUUGGGCUUAUUCCCUUCUGCAGAUUGGAUUUCAAGCAACUGAUCACCGAUUGAAUUCAGUAACAUGACC